ensembl:snRNA U6 spliceosomal RNA
GUGCUCACUUCCACAGCACAUAUACUAAAAUUAGGACGAUACAGAGAAGAUUAGCAAGGCCGCUGUGCAAGGAAGACACGCAAAUUCAUGAAGCAUUCCAUAGAUUU